AUUGAACGCUGGCGGCAUGCCUUACACAUGCAAGUCGAACGGUAACGGGCCUUCGGGUGCCGACGAGUGGCGAACGGGUGCGUAAUACAUCGGAACGUGCCCGAUCGUGGGGGAUAACGAGGCGAAAGCUUUGCUAAUACCGCAUACGAUCUACGGAUGAAAGCAGGGGACCGCAAGGCCUUGCGCGGACGGAGCGGCCGAUGGCGGAUUAGGUAGUUGGUGGGGUAAAAGCUUACCAAGCCGACGAUCUGUAGCUGGUCUGAGAGGAUGAUCAGCCACACUGGGACUGAGACACGGCCCAGACUCCUACGGGAGGCAGCAGUGGGGAAUUUUGGACAAUGGGCGCAAGCCUGAUCCAGCCAUGCCGCGUGCAGGAUGAAGGCCUUCGGGUUGUAAACUGCUUUUGUACGGAACGAAAAGCCUUCUUUUAAUACAGGAGGGUCAUGACGGUACCGAAAGAAUAAGCACCGGCUAACUACGUG
rnacentral:rRNA from 1 species